UACGUAGGGUGCAAGCGUUGUCCGGAAUUUAUUUGGGCGUAAAGAGCUCGUAGGCGGUUUGUCGCGUCUGCUGUGAAAACCCGAGGCUCAACCUCGGGCCUGCAGUGGGUACGGGCAGACUAGAGUGCGGUAGGGGAGAUUGGAAUUCCUGGUGUAGCGGUGGAAUGCGCAGAUAUCAGGAGGAGCACCAAUGGCGAAGGCAGAUCUCUGGGACGGUACUGACGCUGAGGCGCGAAAGCGUGGGGAGCAAACAGG
rnacentral:rRNA from 1 species